UUUGUGGACCUCCAAGGUAAAACAUGCCAGUGGGCGUGCGCCUCCAUCAUUGGGGUGUUGGGGUUAAACUAUCAGUGUGCUGACCACGUCUUUCAAGUCCAGAAGUAUGCACGGAACGACUUUCAGGCUCAAAUGGCUAGAUUACGUGAAAGAACUAUUUCAGGUCGCCUGCUGCCUUUGAUCCACAGGGUAGAUCAAAGAUCUCAUCCAUGCAAGGUCUCUCCAAGACUGGAGAAAAAGAAGCAGUAAGUGAGAGUGUUCUUGCGAGAGACUGCAGAGUAGUGAGCAGUCAUGGGUGGUUGACGGAGGAGGCUGAGGACCUGGAAACAUUGUGGACAGUGCUCCUUGGCAGGUAAAAGAUGCACGGUACUCUGCUGAUCCCAUCUCACCUGUAAGAAUCAUAGACUUGAAUUGGUGCGUUCUUAUGGCUUCUAUUUUAAGCCUCAUUGUCAUUCAUUCAAUCAACAAACAUUCUAAACUAUCUACUAUGAGGGGAUCAGAGCUGCUGAAAUAAACUUGCUUGAUAGAUGAAAACCGGUUAUUAUACACAAGGCAAUAACCAAUUGCAUUCCGCUGGACAUGAUUCCUUUGUACUCCUUUGGACAAGACUAAUUUGCAUUCUCAGUUUUCUAUGAUUUAUAGAGGAGUGAGCUAGUUUAAAGACAAUGAAAGGCAGAGAUAAUCCAGAAAGGUGUAUUCGACUGGUCACUAAGUAUAUUUGCUGCCCAUUUCAACUCCCCUGACAAAUGUCACAUGAAUAUCCAACUGCAAAUACGUGGCAUGUAAGUAAGUGCUAAGCCAAUGGAUAUAAAGGCAGUUAAGAAACAGCAGAACGGAUCCAUUUGUGGGGUGGGUGUUGGAAAAGGCAGGAAUACCGCUGAGAAAUGGAUCUACGAGGGCAGGAAAGUAUGAUGAGUGGCGGAGUUGCUGUAUGUACCUUGUUCCCGGCUUCGGCCUCAUGCCUGUGUUUCUUGCCCUCAGGUUGAAUUUCCUUUUUGAACCCAGCUUUCUUGGCAUUGACCCUCAGUUCUCUGGUUUGUUACUGUCUUAGUGAUUGACACAGUAUCUCCUUGUUCUGUUCCACACGGAGCGACCUCCUUCCUUGAUCCCUACCCCAAAUCGGACCCAUCUCUAGACCCACUUGCAGGUGACAAAAAUGGAUUCCGGAUGAAUGAAGCAGAAGAGCUUAUGGAGGGAAAAUUAAAGAGCUCAAGAACCACCAAGGCUGCUGGCGAAUCAGGCCGUCUCCUAGGAGACCGGGAGACCAGACGGAAAUGAUGUGGAGUCACUGCUGGCUGGUGGGUGGCCCAUGGGUCGCGGGUCUCCACCACCACCACUGCCCCUGCAGGCUGGUCCUGACUCCCAUGGGGACCCACACACAUAAGAAGGGGUUUGAGAUCCUAGAAGUAAAAUGACUGCUGGCCACCACAGCUCAUUAGAAUGCUUUGGUAAACGAGGAGCUAUCUUUCUGGAUCUCUCUCUCUCUGCCUGUUCUUUCUCCUUCCACUCAAGGCUCUCUAGGAGGAGCUGUCCUGGAUAGAGACCUUUCCCAUUGCUGAUCUGAGUUGUGUUCCUCCGUUGCCCGCUUUCCACUGUCUGCCUCUUAGAAGGAAGAGUGGGUUGCAAUCAAAUUUUUGGAGGGAGCUACGAUCACUUUGGUUUUAAGCAUUUUGUUGCCUGUGACUUCACUCUUACCUAUUUUAAUCUCCAUGACAACCCUAGGAAGUGGGUAUUGUUAUUCCCACUUUACAGAUGAAAAGUCGAAGCCUUAGGGAGGUUAUGUGAUUCCAAGAUUGCACAUCUAGAGAUGGAGGAGACGGAUUUCAAACUCAGGGCUGUCUGAUUCCGAAGUCCGUGUUCUUUUUUUUUUUUUCUUACUGUUUGUGUGUUCGUUUAUUUAUUUAUUUUUAAAACGUUUUUCAUCU